rfam:Clostridium sp. CAG:127 genomic scaffold, scf99
UAUGUUUGGAACUUAGAAUUACUUAAUGUUCUGGAAGAUAAGCAGAAAUGAUUGAACACGAUGUUCAAUCAAGCCGCCAUGCGUACAGGGUCAUAAUUUAUAUCAGAACAUCUUAGAAUUUCUUAGUUUCAAUACAU